GUUAGCUUGUUAGCUCGUUAGCUUUGCAUUAGCCAGUGCACAACUAAAGUGACUGGAUUUUGAUAGAAUUGAGGAAGGUGGGCCGCAGGUGCCGUCGGCCGGCGUCUCCCAGGGCAAGGGGCAGCCUCGCACCCUGAUCCUGCCCAGCAUGCACCACCAGCUGCACCCUACGUUCCUGCGUUCGCCCACCGCCGUGCAAUUUCACCCGCGGAGCCGGCUCGCCGAGGUGUGUCUCAUACUGUAAUCUGUGAGGUUAUCCACUGUUAGCUGAGGGGACCCGUCGGGCCCUCUAGGUCCUUGUGCUUUGCGUGUCAUAGCCAAUCAGUCUCCCACUGCUGGGGACCCCGAUGGUGUCUGAGGAGGAUAUAUUCGGCCGACAUGCGCCCCCUCUGACCCUUCUUAUUCUUCCGUACAAGGUCGGUCUUGCGCAUGGAGAGUCACAACCCGAUCUCCCCGUUCCUCCACUUCUGUACAGGCACCUCGGGCUACUAACCAGGGUCCUUAUACAGCGCAGAAGAUCCUGCCCACUUUUUUUAAAUUAUAUAUAUAUAUAUAUAUAUAUAUAUAUAUAUAUAUAUACUGUGUAUAUACGUAUAUAUAUAUAUAAUUUUUUAGGUACACUAU